GCCUCAUUCCCUCUCAAGUAUCCCUAGUU
rnacentral:piRNA from 1 species